GGUUAAGCGACUAAGCGUACACGGUGGAUGCCCAGGCAGUCAGAGGCGAUGAAGGGCGUGCUAAUCUGCGAUAAGCGUCGGUAAGGUGAUAUGAACCGCAAUACCCG
rnacentral:rRNA from 1 species